ACUAUAUUUAUGGUCUUUCCUCCAGGAAUUCAGGAACUAUUUCUAUUUCAUCUUCACUAGAAUCAAUCUGGUUCAGGAUUUUAAAGUCUCAAGAGUCCUACCUAAAGCAGAGGAUUCCUCUGUCAGGUUGCACCUUUGCUCUUGACUUUCCUUGAACCUACUGCAUCUGCCAUCUGAGAUACCUUGAGUGAGAUUUCCUUUCUGAUCCAGGUCAAGAUCUUAGAUAGGUGGUUGAAGAUAAGUCAGACAGAGUCUUCAGACCCUCGGAACAUUGUCUAUAAAAUAUUUCUAGGACAUGAAAAG